AAUAGAUACCCGGGUAGUCCACGCCGUAAACGAUGUCGACUUGGAGGUUGUUCCCUUGAGGAGUGGCUUCCGGAGCUAACGCGUUAAGUCGACCGCCUGGGGAGUACGGCCGCAAGGUUAAAACUCAAAUGAAUUGACGGGGGCCCGCACAAGCGGUGGAGCAUGUGGUUUAAUUCGAUGCAACGCGAAGAACCUUACCUGGUCUUGACAUCCACAGAAUUCUGCAGAGAUGCGGAAGUGCCUUCGGGAACUGUGAGACAGGUGCUGCAUGGCUGUCGUCAGCUCGUGUUGUGAAAUGUUGGGUUAAGUCCCGCAACGAGCGCAACCCUUAUCCUUUGUUGCCAGCGGUUAGGCCGGGAACUCAAAGGAGACUGCCAGUGAUAAACUGGAGGAAGGUGGGGAUGACGUCAAGUCAUCAUGGCCCUUAGACCAGGGCUACACACGUGCUACAAUGGCAUAUACAAAGAGAAGCGACCUCGCGAGAGCAAGCGGACCUCAUAAAGUAUGUCGUAGUCCGGAUCGGAGU
rnacentral:rRNA from 1 species